ACCAAGUCGAUGUUUGAAUGGUAAGGAGUGAGCUGUGGUUUGUCUUGCGUAAGACCUUGUUUUAUGCUGAGUUUAGCAAUUUGAGGAAACUUAUUUACAAGUUUAUGAAAGAGUUAGUGUAUGAGGCUAUCGAGUUAGACCUGAGACUGGGGGUCUUUGUUGUUUCUUUAUAUUUGUUAUGUUAAGCUGAGUAUUACUGUAUCCAAAGAGCUUCACAAGAUUGACUUUACUGUCUAAAAUAAAGAACUCCUAUCAACUCAAGUCGCAUUGUAUCGGUGUUAUUAAUUUUGAAGUGGU